UACGUAGGGUGCGAGCGUUUGUCCGGAAUUACUGGGCGUAAAGAGCUCGUAGGUGGUUUGUCGCGUUGUUCGUGAAAACUCACAGCUCAACUGUGGGCGUGCGGGCGAUACGGGCAGACUGGAGUACUGCAGGGGAGACUGGAAUUCUGGUGUAGCGGUGGAAUGCGCAGAUAUCAGGAGGAACACCGGUGGCGAAGGCGGGUCUCUGGGCAGUAACUGACGCUGGAGGAGCGAAAGCGUGGGGAGCGAACAGG
rnacentral:rRNA from 1 species